AGUGGAUGGGGAGCAACCUAGUUGUGCGUGUGUAAAGGUAGUGCCAAGAAAAGCGAUGAUCAUGUUGAAAAUCAAUUCCCGGUACCCGAAACCGACACAGGUGGGCAAGUAGAGAAUACUAAGGGGCGCGAGGUAACUCUCUCCAAGGAACUCGGCAAAAUGACCCCGUAACUUAGGGAGAAGGGGUGCCACCGAGAGGUGGUCGCAGUGAAGAGGCCCAGGCGACUGUUUAGCAAAAACAUAGGUCUCUGCAAACUCGAAAGAGGAGGUAUAGGGGCUGACGCCUGCCCAGUGCCGGAAGGUUAAAGAAGUUGGUCAGUUUUAGGAUGAAGCUAGCGACUGAAGCCCCGGUGAACGGCGGCCGUAACUAUAACGGUCCUAAGGUAGCGAAAUUCCUUGUCGGGUAAGUUCCGACCCGCACGAAAGGCGUAACGAUCUGGGCGCUGUCUCGGAGAGAGGCUCGGCGAAAUAGGAUUGUCUGUGAAGAUACGGACUACCUGCAUUUGGACAGAAAGACCCUAUGAAGCUUUACUAUAGCUUGGAAUUGUGUUCGGGCUUCCUGUGCGCAGGAUAGGUGGGAGGCGUAGAAGGUAUUCUUGUGGGGAUACUGGAGCCAACGGUGAGAUACCACUCUCAGGAGGCUAGAAUUCUAACUUAAUUAAGGACAGUUUCAGGUGGGUAGUUUGACUGGGGCGGUCGCCUCCAAAAAGGUAACGGAGGCGUACAAAGGUUCCCUCAGACUGGUUGGAAAUCAGUCGAAGAGUGCAAAGGCAGAAGGGAGCUUGACUGCGAGAAGUACAGUUCGAGCAGGGUGGAAACACGGUCUUAGUGAUCCGACGGUGCUGUGUGGAAGGGCCGUCGCUCAACGGAUAAAAGUUACUCUAGGAUAACAGGCUGAUCUCCCCCAAGAGUUCACAUCGACGGGGAGGUUUGGCACCUCGAUGUCGGCUCAUCGCAACCUGGGGCGGAAGUACGUCCCAAGGGUUGGGCUGUUCGCCCAUUAAAGCGGUACGUGAGCUGGGUUCAGAACGUCGUGAGACAGUUCGGUCCAUAUCCGAUGUAGGCGUGAGAAUAUUGAGAGGAGCCUUCCUUAGUACGAGAGGACCGGGAAGGACGCACCCUGGUGUACCUGUUAUGAUGCCAAUUGUAAACGCAGGGUAGCCAAGUGCGGAGAGGAUAACCGCUGAAAGCAUCUAAGUGGGAAGCCCACCUCAAGAUGAGUAUUCUGGUGUAAGGUCACGGGAAGACGACCCGUAAAUAGGCACGAGGUGGAAGUGCAGAGAUGUAUGAAGCCGAAGUGUACUAAUAGACCGUCGGCUUGACC
rnacentral:rRNA from 1 species